rnacentral:lncRNA from 1 species
ACUCAGCUCCGUUAUCCACUCCAGGAGUUAUCCGCUCCAGCACCCUGAUGCUCUCUCUGGGUUUCUGUUUGAGUCUGGUCUCCAGGCAACAGGGUAAAUCCAUCACCCCUCAUAGGGGGAGGGCUGCUGAUAGGUAACUAAUAUUAGUACAAUGUGCGGGCAGCAGGGUCCCCGUUCUUUCUGAGAUCUUGCUGUAAAGUAGCGCAAUUUCUCAGCGGCUAAAGCCAUCGGAAAUAUGUAUUUUCCUUUUCUGAUGGCUUUAGGUGACCCCUAUGUUUUGGUCAGUUGACCCCCGCCGGGGGGGGGGGGGCUGACCCACAGGUUGAGAACUGCUGUUCUAAAGAGUUUUGUGGUUGUUUUUAGCAGUAGAGGAGAAGAUCGUUAGAAGCUGGCCGUAAGUGAUAAUAACAAAUGAAUUCUGAGUAGAGUCAGGGCACAGAUUAGGAUCCAGGCUCUCAUACUUCUUAGUCAGGCCUCCCUGGAGCCCAGGAGGAGGGGAGUCCAGCUCGAGUGCCACAGCCUCUCCUGGGUCUCAACAUAAAGCUCAGUUCAGAGGCAUCCAGCUUCAUCGAGGGAAACAGGAGGGUGGCGAAUUCAAAGCCUCAGAAAACUGAGAAUGAAGUCAAUCAGAUUCCAGAGAUUUGUGAAGGAAAAGACAGGCUUCUUAUGGGUCAUGGAACGGAUUCCUUGAAAGCUGCUGGAGACACAUGCUAAGGACGAGAAUGAAAGGAUUAUCCUGAGUCCAGGAGUGGGAACCAGUGAACAUGCUGGAACUCUUUUGAUUCAAAAUGACGUACCAACAUUUGACUGGACAUUUGUCAGGGAGUGUUUAAGCCCUGGCUGUACCAAGCCCCACCAAAGGGGUUGAUCUUCCUAAGAUGCUGGCUCUAAGACAUGCUAGAAAUGAAAGUAAGUGAGAAAUUUGCUUUCUUAAAAUUAUAUUAAUGUGUUCGUUUUAUGUUGCACCCAUUUAUAGAUUCCCACUUUAUGAGACGUCUCUUGUAACAGAGUAAAAUUAAUGAUAUAGUGCCCUCCUCUGAAAACAUAUACAUUUCACACCUGUAGCUACCCCUCCCUUUUCUAUUUUUUAAUUAACAGAAAUCUAUUCUCUCUUCCUCCUACCCUUUUAUCACAGCAAAAGAAGAAAAAUAUCUUCUCAUAACAAAUAAGCAGUAUUAAAACAAAUUCC